rnacentral:rRNA from 1 species
UACGUAGGGGGCUAGCGUUGUCCGGAAUUACUGGGCGUAAAGAGCGCGUAGGCGGCCAGAUAAGUCCGGUGUGAAAGCCAAAGGCUCAACCUUUGAAUGGCGCUGGAAACUGUCUGGCUAGAGUCCGGGAGGGGCGAGUGGAAUUCCUGGUGUAGCGGUGAAAUGCGCAGAUAUCAGGAAGAACACCCGUGGCGAAAGCGGCUCUCUGGAACGAAGCUGACGCUGAGACGCGAAAGCGUGGGGAGCAAACAGG